GCCCAGCCCAACUCUCCCGAGCAGAUCGUCCUCACCCCCACCAUCCUCUCCUACCUCCCACCCCAUCGCCGCCCCACCCACCUUCUCCGCGGCUCCCGCUGGCGCCUCGCCCUCCACCUUCUCCGCGGCUGCCGCUGGCGCCUAGCCCCCUACCUUAUCUUCGCCUCCCGCCGGCGCCUUGCCCUCCACCUCCUCCACGGCUCCCGCCGGUGCCUAGCCCCUUACCUUAUCUCCAGCUCCUGCCGGCGCCUGGCACCCCACUUUCUUCGCGGCUCCCGCCGGCGCCUCACCCCCACCAUCUCCCCGGCCCCCACCGGUGCCUCUCUCCCAACUUUCUCCAUAGCCCCCGCCAGCGCUCUCGUCCCCACCUACACAACAGGUCCCAUGUGAUGCUGCUCCUCCGCGCUGCCGUCCUCCCCAUUCUGAACAUCCACUGGCCGCCAGCUUGAUCUUCACCAGAGUCACCAUCCCCCUGUUCUCCACUACCAUCCAUGGCUGCGCUAUCCUGCUGACAUCCUCUGCUACCUCCACCUAGGCUGCACCACCAUUAGCUCUUCCCGCUGGCAUCCUCCUCUGCACCAAGUUGCUGCGGUUUGCAACCAGUGAAAAUGCUAUUCGACAAGUGCACUGCAGCAGGUAGCUAGAAACGAAGAUGAAGCUUCUUUGGUAUGUUACUGACCUUGUGCGCCUACUGAACUUGAGUGGCUAUUUUUGUUGAACUUGAAUGUGUUGUGGUAUUAUCGAAGUGUAGAACUUGUAUGAUGGCUGAUUCUAAACUGCUGUUGGUUGCAUUUGUGAUGUUUUUUCUUGUGCAAAAAAAACUAGUGUCUUGUUUUGCUUAUGCCGAUCCCACAGUCGCUGCUGUCUGCGCCCCACAUCCCCGUGCCACCCGUCGUCGGCUCCUGCUACGCAGAGAUCCAACGAACAUAUUUUUUGGUUAAUUUUUGGUUAGUUAAUAUUUCGGUGACGUGCUCAGUUUAGUUUCUUAAUUUACUUCAGUGCAAUUUCUUAUUUUGGUUGGGUUCAAAUUCUUAUUUCAGUUCAGUUCAGUUUAGCAAGAAGAAUAUCUUUGCUGUAACUUGUCUCGGCUUUAUUAGUGUCAUACUUUCCUACAAAGCGAAAGCAUAAUGUUGUUUCACGUCAUAAGGUUUUCUCUGAAACAUAGGGGACCUAAGAUAAUGAAGCAAUGUAAACUCUACUGUCUCAUCAAGAUCUUAUCAUGAUACUUAUUUGAACAAUUCAUCCAUUUUGUUGGGGUUUCAACCUACCGGUUCCAGUAUUCAAGUUUAUUGAGCUUCUGACUUCAAAUUCUGAACAUCUUAUGUUACUUGUGCGUACAAGGGGGAAACCGAACAUCUUGCGAGGCUCCCUGCUGGAUAUCGGCGCUAGAGGGGAGCGGACACCGUCGUUGCCCCGUGACCAUAGACUUCUCUUCUGCAAUGCAAGGUUCAUUUUCCUCUUAAAAAUUCACACGGAAAGAAUAGAGCUACUCCGUACACAUUCUGCGUCGGUGUCAGAACAUGUUAUACUAAUUAGUAAGUUCGGGAACUAUGUUCCAAACUGAGCUUAGACAAGGAGACAGGGAUGUAUUGACAGAGUGUUGUGUUGUGUGCUGUUCAUGGGGAAAAAGCAGAUGCUCGUCAUGGGUUAUGAAGUAGACAAAGUACAUAAGAUGCCUACCAUGGUCUAUGAAGUACAGGCAAAAAGGUGCCACUCGCCGUCGGCUCUCUCUUGUCAUGACGAACAGGCCAAGCAACGCGACUACGUGAGAAGGGUCAGCAUUAGCGGGAGCAGGGUAUGGAUGGGGAAGGAGCAACAGUAUCUUCACUGCUGCUGCUGAUUUGUUUCCAUCCUAGUACAAUUAGUUGACCAUCUCAGUACAACUAUUAUUGGGUGUGCCAAAACUAGAUGCUUGACUGCCUUAUUAUUAUCACUAGUGCUUUGUUUUCAGAUUGCUCCUUCAGUCCAACCUGACCCCGCGUCCCACUCAGCCAUUCGGUCUGACAUCAUCUUCGUAUUCUUCUUCUCCUCUCACUCCACAAGAUUUUUGCCAAUUUUUCAAUUCUACACUAACGCUGCUUCUAAUAGGUGUAUGUGUGAUUAUUGGUUCGUGCUUGUCUUAGUCAGCGCUAGGAGGAAAUUUUAGAAAAAAAUGUGUUAAUGGAGAUGCAUGGGAGUUGUACCUCAAGUGUUUUCUUUUGUAACUGACGACACCAAGGUGGGGGGAAAUUUUGUUCUUCGGUUAUACGGGAUUAUUCAUCGUUCAUCAGUUGCUUAGAGGAUGGUUUCCUUGGAGAAGCAUCUCUACUGAAUUAGGUGUUGAAAAUGUUUCCUUGUGAAUAUAUCAGUGGGGGCUCAGUUGCUGCUCUAAAUCGAACAAUUUGGAGGAGGAAUGCAUGAGAAACAAGUCUCCCGACGAUGACAAGGGUAUGACCGGCGACAACGAGUAGGUGGCACGUGUACCACAGCGACGAGACUGAGGUAUGAAGCAGAUGUGCGUGGUGAGCUCUCGUUUCAUAAGUUCAAGUGCUUACCCCCUAUAAAGUUCAGAGAAAAACAUUAUGUUGCUUAUUGCUCGGCCCUAUAAGGAGCGAGCGGAGGAAUCCCCACCUAAUCUACCUUGUCCCUCGACCUGAUGCUCAACACCAGCCCGCCACCGCGACCUCUCCUCCCAUAGCGUGCCGCCGGUACCUCCCCCUCCCCCAGCGCGCCGCCACGGCCCCUCCUGCCCCAGCGCGCCACCGGGGCCUCCCCCUCCCCCAGUGCGCCGUCGGGGCCUCCCCCUCCCCGCAGCGCGCCGCCGUGGCAUUUGUCCAGCACACAAACAGAGUGUGAGGUACCAAAGAACGUCAGGUAGGAGGAUUUUGGAAGAAAUGACACAGGUACACACAACCGUGAGACUUGGUGCAUUUUUACAUAGCUUUCUCUGGAAGAACUGUCUGUUUUCUUUAUUAUCUUUUACCAUGUACAUAUAAUUCGCUUUAUAAUUUGUUUUUUGUGUAAAAAUGACUUGCAUCUGGUGUACAAAUAAAUCUAUUUUCAAUUUCAGAAAGUUUGAAAAGAGUAGUCUUGGAAGUACAAGGGCAAAAGUUACUGGGUUCAACAAAAACGAAAAUGUUAGUUUCUCUUUUAUGUGAUUUUCAGUUCUUCCCCCGCGCUCUUUUGUGAUGCUCUGGCAAUAAGAUGACUAUAGUUAUAGAAAAAACAGUACAAACUUUUUAAAAAGUUUAUUUUUUGAACUUCUCCCAAUUAAUAUACUGAACUUGAUUAUCUUUUUAACAGUACUUGCAUCAGCUCGUCGGAAUUGGUGUGUGUGCUUGUAACACAAUCAGUUCAGAUAUUGAGAGACCAUAAGUUUAUUGACAAAUAUGUAUAUUAGUUCAUGUCUUAAGAGUCCAUAAUUUUGUAAGGCCAGAAAAUGCAAGGGCUUAGUACAUCUUCUCAAGUCAGCAGCUAACCAAACUGGGUAAGUUUUCAUAAAUUCAUUCUAGUGUCAAACGUUGGUGAGAUUCCGAUCAAGACUUUUGUCUAUUCCAGCAACUUUGGGGUAGCUCAGUCAAUAUAGGAGCUGUGCAGUAAACAGCUUCAGUCGAGAAAUCAGCAAGUUGUAAUGCAUAGUGUGUUCCAGGCACCUGUCCUAAUUCCUAAAAUAUUCUACUCAACUUCAGCGCCAUGCUCGGUCCAACCACAUGGCUUCAGGGUGCCGGAGUUCGUCGCCACCAUUAGUUCGGAGACUCUGCCACUGCCUGUGUCGCGACCAUGGCCACCUGCGUCACUGCGUGCUCCGUCAAUAGCCUCCCGCGCAAGGAAAAGCAACAGGAGUAGAGCCGUCUGAGAUGCUCUGUUCUAGCGAGGUGGCUUAUUAUGUUUGUCAGUUUGUAAUACUUUGGCCGCAAUGUACUUGUGUAUCUUUUUCUAAACGGAGCACGACAGAGAUUAUGUCAUUAUGAACUUUGAUUGUGAUGGUACUACAAACUCUAUAAAAACACCAGUAAUCCAUU